AAGGGCCGGGGGGCAGAAAGAAGACUGACCACAAAGGGGACAAGACAUCUUUCUGAGAGCUGAGGAGUGAAGUUAUUGGAGCUGGCUACUGUCAGGGGCCCCUGCCGGUCAGCACACAUCAGGGCCUCUGGAGGCUGGAGCAGGCAGCUUCUCGGAAGGCCAACCCUGUCAGUCUCUGAAGCAAUGGAAGCCAGAGAGGGAAGCUUCUGGAUGGCUGUGGAAGGGCCCGGUUUGAUAAUAAUCAGAGCCAUCAGGCACACCCUAUACACAUGCUUUUAAAGCAUUAAACUGGAUCUGCUAUUAUGACCUAUUUUAUUAUUGUUAAUAAAAGGGAUUCUAGUUGCUGCAAAUAGAAAAAUAAAAAUUGUGACAAACCUGGGUUUGAGUUCAGAAUUUGGACUCUUAUCCACUUGGACAAAU